GCUGGGUGCAGUGGCACACACCUGUAAUCCCAGCAGCUGAGGAAGCUGAGGCAGGAGGAUCACAAGUUCAAAGCCAGCCUCAGAAACUCAGCAAGGCCCUCAGCAAUUUAGCAAGACCCUGUCUCUA
rnacentral:sRNA from 1 species